GGCGCACCAGUAGCCUAAGUGGUUAGAGCGUCCGCCUCGUUAGCGGAAAGGUGCUGGUUCGAACCUAGGCUGAAUCA